GCGUCCCCUUUGUAAUCUCAAGAAGUGUUUUCCGCUUCGGACCAUGCCUAAGUCCCUUGGAAAAGGGCAUCAUAGAGGGUGAUAAUCCCGUACAUGGCAUGGAGCGCCCGAAGCUUUGUGAUACGCUUUCUAAGAGUCGAGUUGUUUGGGAAUGCAGCUCAAAAUGGGUGGUAAAUGCCAUCUAAGGCUAAAUAUUGGGGAGAGACCGAUAGCGAACAAGUACAGUGAUGGAAAGAUGAAAAGAACUUUGAAAAGAGAGUUAAACAGUACGUGAAAUUGCCAAAAGGGAAGGGUAGGAGGUCAGAGAUGCGUCGCAGGAUUCAGCCUUGCUUUUGCUUGGUGUUUUUCCUGCGUUGCAGGCCAACGUCGGUUUUGGGCACUGGAGAAGGGUAGGAGGAACGUGGCACCUCUCGGGGUGUGUUAUAGCCUCCUACUGGAUACAGCGACCGAGACCGAGGAACGCAGCGUACUCGUAAGAGCGGGCCUUUUGGCACCUUUUACGCUUAGGGCGUUGGCAUAAUGGCCCUCUACCACC
rnacentral:rRNA from 1 species